GUUUCUGUGAGGCCUAAUGCCCUCUGUUAUAUUGUUAUAUCUGUUAUAUAACUCAUUGGGGGGACAUCCCAUAACAAAAUCGCCUCACACAGUAUUGAUGUAAGCGGUGGUCCAGAUUUAAACAUAUAACAGCAUUAAAUUAAAUGAACAUUGCCAUGUUACUGACAUGUUAUAUUUACAUCUGACUUCCAAACAAAGCUAAUGUACCUCAGUAUGAACAUUAGCCUCUCGUCUGUCUGUGUGGUCCCUGUUUUAUGUACACGUUGUGUUUUCUUUAAUAAACUAUUUGAUUUAUUGCUUUAUAAACAACCUGGUUUUACAACCAAAUGCACUGAAUGGAGAAUGGAUGUGAAUAUAAGAUGCCGUUAACAAUCCCAGCUCAGUGUUUGUGACCCUCACGUUUAGUUGCUGUGUCAUGGCUCUUCUACCAGCCUGGAUGUAUUAAGGUUUCUGCUGAGAACAUCUGAGGAAGAUGGGCAUACAGACACACAGGGCUUUUAAGACCAAUGGCCAUUAGACUAAAACCACUGUCUGUGGCUUUCCAGUUGUUUGUCAAGGACUUCCUGCUUGGAGGGUCAUGUGACAGUUUCUAUUGAUAUCAUAACCUACACUCUCAGAAAUAAAGUAGGAAAUAUGUCAACAAAGAGAAAAAAACUGCUUGUCAGACCUUUUCAUGGGGUCUUUGAGAGGUUACUGAAUGCACUGAAGAGAU
ensembl:lncRNA